CGAGCAAUCCUCCCCCCUCGGCCUCUUAGAGUGCUAGGAUUACAGGGGUGAGCCACCGUACCCAGCCGAGAGAUGGUAACUAAAUAAAGAAGUUUAUAUCUAACUAAACUGUUACUUAAGAGUGAAGGGUCUAAAUAAGGCAUUUUAAACAAGAGAGGAAAAAAACUACAUGUGUAGGCUGAUUACAAAAAGGUCCUCAGUUUUCUAUGCCCCGUGUAACCUACAGAUCUCAGCACGUGAACGAGCCCAGCUAACCCACAGACUCAAAUGCAAUAAUAAAUAAUUAUUGUUUCAAUCCCCUAAGUAUUGUUGUCAUUUUUUAGGUCUCAGUACACAACUGAGGUGCUGACAUUUUCAGGAAACAAACCCAGGAGGAAGGAGUCGGAUGCAAGAAGCCUUUCAAAGAGACGAAGGUCUCUUACCUCAAAGGAGAUGUGGCCCAAGGGCUUGCCAUCAACGGCGAUAUUGAAGAACAUGGUGGGGUUGACCAUGGUAUGAUUGCAGCUUUGCACAGUUUUGAAAUUCCCAGGUGAUAGCAUAAAAUGUGUGAAGGUGCACACCCCCUCAUCAACACAGGAGCAUUUCCUCCUGGCAUCUCGCAAGAAAGAUGAUUGAAAUAAUGACCGUAGUCCUUAAGAAUGUCAUCUAAUCAGUCAGUUUAUAAGAUUCAUCUUGGGUUCAAAGGAUAUUGAGAUUUUUGACUCUUAAGCUAUGAAUAGCAAAUGGGAUAUUUGCAAAUAAGUAAGUUAAGAAAACUUGAAAAGAGCAAGUGUUCUUUGUUUUGAUCUAUUUGAUCAAAGCCUUUGACAUGAUGGAAAAGUAGCUGUUAUUUAUAAAUUUUGAAGUCUCGAGACUAAUGGGAUUCAUUCUGAAGGUGCCUCAUCCAGUGCAAUGCCCGUCUCAAGUGGAGCUAAACCCAAUUGUAUCCCCUGAACUCUGGCAUUCCAAAACACAGGCCAAGCUAGAUGGUACAGCCAGUUAAUUUUUCUCAGAGAUAUUUCUGUCUCUCAUUUCUUAUCAAACUGCAGUUUUUUUUUUUAAAAGAAUGAAGGCUAUCUUAUCAUUGAUUUAUGAAUGUAUAAGACAUUUUCUUGGGUAAUAUGUUAGAAAUGCUUUGCAAUAAAAAUGUAUUCAAGAUAUCUAGUCUUAAAGGACUCUCUUUUUCCAUAAUUAGAUAAACAGAGCAAGGAAGCCAUAGAGACAUCUACAAAUAGGCCUUGAAAUCCAGGGGACAUUUUUUGGAGUUGCAGGAAACAGAAAUGAGGGAGCUGAAGUGUGGGAAGCCCUGGCCGGUCUCAUGAUCCUUGACCACAUCCUAGAUGCAAAUCGGUUCAUCUUCAUCGAAUGUCCCAUGCCCAGAUGGCUGCAGUGGGGCUGGGGGACAUGUGCCCGCCUGCUGCCACAGGAACGGGGACCCACCCUCCUUUCCACCAGGCAGCCGGGGCUACUGGGGGGCUGGGAGGCUCACUGCUGCCAAGGGAAGUGUCCCCUGCUGAACAUUUUGUCAUGGCCCACAAGAGAAGGAGGGGACGGAUUCUAUGAAGUAGUUCUUCCUUGAAUUUUUGCUUUAGGUAACUUGGUCACACAAUCAAGGGUAUAAGUUACUAUGGGAUGCUUUUUUUAAAAAAACAGAAGAAAUCCCAUGAGACUGUUGUAGAAAACUGACCGUUUUCAAGUGCUCACUGAGUGUAGUUGGCAAUGUACAAAGACCCACACCUGCAGCAUUCUGCCAAGUCAUGUGCCCAUUAUUGCUUAUGGCUGGAACCAGAUGACCUGCCCAGUUAAUCUGUUCUUAAUGUGCUUAA